rnacentral:rRNA from 1 species
GACGAACGCUGGCGGCGUGCUUAACACAUGCAAGUCGAGCGGUAAGGCCCUUUCGGGGGUACACGAGCGGCGAACGGGUGAGUAACACGUGGGUGACCUGCCCUCAGCUCUGGGAUAAGCCUGGGAAACCGGGUCUAAUACUGGAUAUGACUCCAUGACGCAUGUUGUGGGGUGGAAAGCCUUGUGCGGCUGAGGAUGGGCCCGCGGCCUAUCAGCUUGUUGGUGGGGUGANGGCCUACCAAGGCGACGACGGGUAGCCGGCUGAGAGGGCGACCGGCCACACUGGGACUGAGACACGGCCCACGACUCCUACGGGAGGCAGCAGUGGGGAAGUCUUGCGCAAUAGGGCGAAAGCCUGACGCAGCGACGCCGCGUGAGGGAUGACGGCCUCGG